AUGAACUUUCCCUUGACUAUAGGUUUGGACCGGGUGCGUGGUGUGCAGGGGUGCAUGGUUACCCAUGGGGUGUCUGGUUACACACGGGGUACGUGGCUACCCACGGGUGUCUGGUUACCCAUGGGGUGCAUGGCUACCCACGGGGUGCCUGGUUACCCGGGUGCCUGGUUAUCCACGGGUGCAUGUUUACCCACAGGUGCCUGGUUACCCACGAGGUGCCUGGUAGCCCACAGGAGCCUGGUUAGGCGCGGAUUGUGUGGUUACCCAGGUGCCUGGUUACCCAUGAGGGUGUGCGGUUACCCACAUGGUGAAUGGUUACCCACAAGGUGCCUGGUUACCCACAGGUGCAUGCUUACCACAGGGCACAGAGGUACCUGGUGAUCUGUGAGGCAUGGGGGUCCACGGUCACCUCUGGGGCACGAGGGGUGCAUAGUUACGGGGAGCGAGGCUACAUGUCUACCUGCAGGUACAGGGUACGUGGUCACUUCUGGGGGCCAACAUGCGCACGGAUGUUCUAGCAGGGCCGUUGAAAGAAGUGUAAGCCACUUACGAAAACAACUUUUCUUUUUUUCUCCGAGUGCCCUUCACCUUUGCACGGCUGAUCGCACGCUGGCUUUAAGGAUCGGAGCGGGUCCUUUAAGGUACGUUCUUGACAGAGAAGCUACAGUCACAACGAAGACUGAAAAACAAUGCAACGUCACUAUUCUAAGGAAUAGUUUUCCACCGAUCCUAUUUCCGCCAUUCCAUAUUUAUUUAUUUUUAUUUUUAAAGGUCGGUUUGAGGGAGAGGGAGAGCACGCUGCGCACAUGCACGCGGCAGGGAAGGGCAGAGGGAGAGGGAGGCGGAAUUUCGAGCAGACUCUGCACUGAGCACGGAGCCCCGUGCAGGGCUUGAUCCCACAAACCGCGAGGUCGUGACCGGAGCCGAAACCAGGAGUCGACCCUUCUCCGACUGUGCCAGCCCGGCACCCCCACAGGUUCCAUAUCCUACAAGAUACGCUGUCGCUGUUAGCAGAUCAGGACCCUCCCUGUCCCCCUCCACCACGCGCUCUCCGCAGCGUCUCUUCCCGGAACUUGGUCACCCAGGCCAGGCCACGUCGUCUUCACCAGCAUCCGUUGGGGGUGCCCAUUGUCAUCCCCAUCGUCACCGUCCUCCUCCUCCUCCUCCUCUCCGCUUCGCAGACAAGGAAGUUGAGGCUCAGAGACUUUCAACAACUUGACUGAGUUUAUGCAGAUACCAAGUGCCAGAGUCAGGCUUAAACCCAAACAUAUCUAAUG
rnacentral:lncRNA from 12 species